GUUUUUAACAAAUUAAAAAAGAAAUGUCACCUAAAUUUGUGGUUUUAAAAAAGACAUGUCACCUAAAUUUGUAAGAACCACGUGAAGUGAUCAUUCAUAAAUUUACCAUGUACAAGAAGGAUAUAGGUCCAUGGGGAGUGUUAGGUUAGCGGUGUAAUUUGGAUGUUGCUUUCGUUUUGCUUUUUCUUUGAUCUAUAUUAGUGGCAAAUAUCCGUGUCUGCUUGAGUUCUUUAAUUACAAGUCCCUCUGUGCAGUGUGCACCGGAUUGGAUAAAUAGGGUCUUGAAAAUACGAAAUCACAAUGGAAAUGGAAGGUAAUGUUAUAAAUAGGGUAAGUUUUGUAUUAUUCGAAAUGACAAUGGAAAUAGAAGCUAGUGUUGUAAGGCUAAAUUCUAGGGGAGAUUUCUGAAAUUAUCACUAUUUUAUUUUCAGAAAAAGAAUAAAUCAAGAGAGAAAGACGUGUCACUGUUUUGUUGGUCUGCUUCUAUUUGCCGAGAUGCAAUCCACAAAUGUUCAAGUGCCCGAAGAGCAUAUUUACUGAAAGAAAUUAACUUUUAUUGUUUGGUUUUCUUUCAGGGAAAAGUAGACUCAAAUUUAUCAACCCUAACUUCUUACUCUAGUAAACUAACCCUCCGAUUUGUAUGCGUUACAUUUGAAUGUUAGCACUAUCAUAUCGACUUAUAAUUUUUUCUAGACAAGUGGUUAGAUCAUUGGCCAGCCCAAAAAGUUAAUUUUCUAAAGUUGACUAAUUGUCUUUGAACUUUUAGUCCCUGCUUGCCGUCCCGUUGCAAAUCUUCAAAGUCAAAACUCGAGAGUAAGAAAAUUCGGAAUUUCACUUAUGAAGCAAGCGUGGUCAGAAAUUCAAGACCAUGCACGCACGAACCACCACCUCCAAGGCCAUUCUUGUAUUAUUGUUUCAACAGGUGGUAUUCAAACUUAAUAAUAUGUUGCUAUUAUUACAAUAGGUGUAUUCUAACUUCACUAUUAUUAGUAUUUAAAAAAGGGGA